rnacentral:rRNA from 1 species
UACAGAGGGGGCAAGCGUUAUUCGGAAUUACUGGGCGUAAAGCGCACGUAGGCGGCUUUGUAAGUUAGAGGUGAAAGCCCGGGGCUCAACUCCGGAAUUGCCUUUAAGACUGCAUCGCUAGAAUUGUGGAGAGGUAAGUGGAAUUCCGAGUGUAGAGGUGAAAUUCGUAGAUAUUCGGAAGAACACCAGUGGCGAAGGCGACUUACUGGACACAUAUUGACGCUGAGGUGCGAAAGCGUGGGGAGCAAACAGG